AACCUCAAGAGAUGCAAGGGCAAGAACAUCUUUACUUGCGGACAUGCUCACAACAAGCUUCAGAACAAGAAGGCGGAUAACAGAGGCAUAGACAAACCUCCCACCAGACAAGACAAAAUAGGCAAAUGCACGCUUGCUGGGGUCACCAGGUGGGUAACGCUCAUGGUUAUGGUUAUCAUAGACAAUCUUUGAGUUAGGUGUUUUGACAGCUUCGACUGUGGCUGGGACUUCCGAACCAAAACCUACCUCAUUUCCUUGAGUGAGGACUUGAGAAGAGAAACCUGAAAGAUAGCAUGAAUCAUUAAUAUAUUCACAUCAAAACAAACCUUUUUGGGUCAAGUAUUCUACUAAAGCAAAAAUAUUUACGCAAACAAAAGAUCUGCUACAGCUAUAAAGAUGUGACCAUUGAUGAAAAAACUUCUAAGGAAAAACAAAAGUACAUAAAAACGGAAUCCAUGCAGGAAUAUAGAGAUUCAUGAAAACAAUACUCUAGCAUAAUAUCAAAUUCAGAAAAACUAAAGGCACUCUAAUCAACGGAAAAAUUAAGAAAACAGAUCCAGUGAUCAGAUGCUGUAUAUUACAAAAUUGCUUAAAACACAACAACACUCCCAAGCAAAGAUCUUUUGGUUAACAAGAUAUACAUUCCAGAAUGAAAGUUCCUCAGCAUGCCUAUUCAGUGCUAUAAAUACUCCAAAUCAUGUAUAUAGCGAAAACUACCAUCUCCCUAAUAAUGAAGAAAUACAUGGAUACACAAGAUGAGAACUUUAGAAAUCAAGAAGCGUGAAUCAACUAUAGAUAACGAACCCUAAGGUUUUAGAAACAAAAGAGAGUAAUUUGGAAGCUUUUCUCAUCAAACAAAGGAUUAUCCCAGAACUAGUCAAUCAUAUCCGAUCAAUAAACUCAAAUGUCAUUUCUUUCUGGAAAAAAAGACGCGAUCAUAGAAGGCAUCACCAUUUCGGCAAGGAGAAGAAUGACAGGAAAUGGUAUAUAGAGCUCUAAAACACCAUCCUAGUUCACGGGAUGCAAUAGCGAGAACACGUUCAUUCCCUCGUAUCAUCAACGCGGAAAUACAAUACUAGGAAUCUCAAUCAUUUCCGGCACAAAUAAGGAAAAAAUGUGAUUUUUUAAAAAAAAAUCAUUCAAUAAAUAAUACCUACAAACAACACGAGAAAUGAAAAUCGAUCCAGAGAGAGAAAGGGUUGUAAAUUGGCAGACCUCUUAGAAGGCUCCGGUGAUCAGAAUUGAAAUAUGAAAGACCUGCAGAGGCGACGGAUCUGGGGGCUGAAGAGGAGUCGCCGCCAUCGGAGAGCGUAUGGUCUCGCGAGAGAGCGAAGGAGGACGCAGUGGAAGAUCUCUGCGAAACAGACAAAAGCCUCCUCCCUGCAACUCGCAGCAUCUUCACUCAAUGGUAAUGGCCGAAUCUAGGGUUUGGCUCUAGCAAGAACAGAGUCCGAAUGUUAGGGACGGCCGAUGCAAAGAGAAGGAGAGUCCCUUAAAAUUAGUCUUCGAGAAAAGAAAAGGUCAAUUUGGUUUUUACUAUUAAACAUUUAUAUAUCCUGACCAAAAUUAAUUUUUAUUUUUUCAGUUUGAUUUUUGUUAUGAUUUUUUGGUACUGCGAUAUAUUUUGGUUUUAUUAUUUUUCUGGGUCUAGUCAAGACAAAUGAUAUUCAUUUUUACCUAACUUAAAUAAAUAAAAAGAACAAUAUAUAGAGAGAUCCCUUUCCAAUAAUUAGAUUAGAUGGAUAUACUUUCCUGUGAAGUAUAAUCGUAAUACUGUAUCAGGUCAAUUUCAGAAGAAAGAUUGGCCUGAUCGUGUAGAGCUUAUAUAGUUUGUGCUUUAGCAAAUGUACUUAGACAAUGCCAACAUACGGCAGAUAACUGGUAGAACAAACCGAGAAUGUUUUGCAAAUUUUUUCCGUUGCGACAAUAGUUUCAAGAGAAUUAGUCUCUAGAAUUACCUCGCUCAAUGGAUUCACAAGCAACGUUUCAAGGUUUUAAAGGAGAGAGGAUAAAACUGAGACUAAGAGUCAAGCAGGGAGCUGAUACAGUGAUACUAUUCAAAAUCCAAAAUUCUUUUCAAACAAUAAACACAAACUAUGGACAGUGUUUUUCACCGGAUAAGACAGAUGCUAAGUCAUACAAUGACAAGUUUGUAUUAUUCAGCAAAACAAGACAAUCUUGCUGAGAGACCCAAGUGUGAGGACAGCGAACUCGCACGCUAAAAUUUAAGCCCGGAAAUUAUAAAAACAAAAACAUAUGAAGAUCUUUGAGACACAGACGCUGUCUGUUGUGCAUUUAUUCAUCAACCAAUGAGUAACUUAUUCUCUUCCAAGAAGCUGUAGGUUGGUACUUCCAGGUUGUACGGUGCAGGACCUUUUCGGAUCCUUCCAGAGAUAUCGUAAUGCGAACCGUGACACGGGCAGAACCAACCUCCAAAGUCACCAGCAUUAGGCAAGGGGAUGCACCCCAAAUGAGUGCAGACUCCAACCACCACUAACCAUUCCGGAUUCUUGACCCUCACCGAGUCUUCUUGUGGAUCCCUCAGAGAUCCAACAUCCACACUAUUGGCCAGCUUGAUGUCAUCUUCUGUUCUUCUCCUGAUGAAGACGGGCUUUCCACGCCACUUCACUGUAACAGUGGUUCCUGGUUCGAUGGUCCCGAGGUCAACCUCGAGAGAUGCAAGGGCAAGGACAUCUUUACUUGCGGACAUGCUCACAACAAGCUUCAGAACAAGAAGGCGGAUAACAGAGGCAUAAACAAACCUCCCACCGGACAAGACAAAAUAGGCGAAUGCACGCUUGCUUGGGUCACCAGGUGGGUAACGCUCAUGGUUAUGGUUAUCAUAGACAAUCUUUGAGUUAGGUGUUUUGACAGCUUCGACUGUAGCUGGGACUUCAGAACCAAAACCUACCUCAUUUCCUUGAGUGAGGACUUGAGAAGCGAAACCUGAAAGUUGCAUGAAACAUUAAAUUAUUUACAUCAACGGGAAAAACAAAAUUCCCAAGCUAAGAUCUUUUGGUUAACAAUAUCUAAAUUCCAGAAUGAAAGUUCCUCAGUAUGCCUUAUAACUGCAAAAUCUGCAAUAUUCCAAAGCAAGUAUAUAGCUAAAACAUCCAUCUCCCCUAAUAAUGAAGAAACACAUGGAUACACAAGAUGAAAACUUUAUAAAUCAAGAAGCCAGAAACACACUAUAGAUAAAGCACCCCAAGGAUUUUACAAAUAAAGGAGAACCAUUUGGAAGCUUUUCACAUCAAACAAAGGAUUAUCCUAGAGCUAGUGAAUUCAUAUCCGAUCAAUAAACUCAAAAGAUCAAUUUCCUUCUGAAGAAAAUACGUAAUCAUAGAAGGCAAAACUAUUCUAGAAAGGAGCUGCAAGCAUUAAGAGAAUGAAACGAAAUGGACUAUUAAACCGUAGAGUUCAUGAAAGUCAAAACAGAUAACACGUUUGCUCCCACGGAUCAUCGCGUAGAUACGAAAACUGGAAUAUCAAUCGUUUCGGGGCUCAUAAAAGACCAGAAAAGGGAGUUGAUUAUUUGAAAAAACUUUCAAUCAACACCUGAAAAUGAAAAUUGAAUUCAAUCGAGAGAGAAGAGAUUGUAGAUCGGCAGAC
rnacentral:lncRNA from 1 species